GGGGGUGUGGCCGCCAGCAUAAAGCCUAUACGUAUCCACAUAGCUUCCAUGCUAGGAGCAUGGCCUUCUCUCUCCCCGCUCUACUGACAAAUGUACUUUUUUUCACAGGAGAACUAUGGUUGGUCUGAAUCGGAUCUUGCGCCACCCCUCGGACUAUUGGACGCAACCAUCAGAAUGAGUUUCUAAGAUCGGCUGUGGGUAACAGAAUCCUGGUAAGAAAUAAACGGCACACUCUAAAAGAUCUCACCGAGCAGAACUCAGUCGCGGGAUUAUUCACAGAGGUACAAUCAGGAUUGGGGAAACCAGGCAGGCACAGUGAAGUACCCAGAGACUUGCUGCGGAGGGAAGCCGUUACCCCGCCCCCCCCCCAACAUCUGCCGGGUUGAGCUAGAAGGAAACGCCUUCUAGCAAGCGCUGUGCCUGUGGAGAAACACAGCAGGGGGCAGACUGCAGGGAGGUGGUUGGGGAACAGGUGCUUGUGACCCCAACCCUUCUCUCCUUUGACUCUCUGACGUUUGCUGAGGACACCCCGACGGACCGGCUAAACCUACUCAGGCCAGGGAGACCCCAGGGGCCAUCUGAUGAGCAUAAAACCUCCAGGGCACAAAGCCCAUCACAGAAGAGUCCCGCAGGUCAGAGCAAAUCACAACUUUUCCAAGGAUGACAACUCCUUUCUCCAGAGUUCAUGGCUUUUACCCCCCAGGAAUUUGCAUGAUCUGGUUGAAAAAUGGGGAAGAAAUCGUCUAAGAAAGAGGUUAUGGAGACAUUCUUUCCAAUGGGGGGAAUAGAACCUACCAGACAUGGGUAUCAGUUGAGCUGAGUCCGCAGAACAGUGACCUUUACUCUUGCCCGUGCCUCUAUGUGGCUAUUUGGGUCCCCUGGGGUAACGACAGGGUGUGGUGGUCUUGAGAUUGGGAGUGAGGAACAGAGGAGAGCAGGAAGCACUGAGUGCUUUGGAAAAUCAGUGAUUCUCUCACAUUUUGGACUUAAAAAUUAUUGAGGAUGUCACAGAGCUUUUGUUUAUGUGAGCUAUAUCUACUGCUAGUUACUGUCUUAUCAAUUACAAAUGAAAAAGAUUUUUAAGGAUAAGAAAACACAAGUAUAUAUGUAUAAGCCAUCGGAGAGAGGACGUCACCACAUCUCAUGUAGCCUCCAGAAAACUUCAUUGUGCACAUGUGAGAGAUCAAGAUUUUUAAAAGGCGGGGGGUGGGGGGGAUCAUGAUGCAGACCUUAUUGGCUCCCUGAAAGGGUCUUGAGGGCCCUUCGGGUAUUUGGACCACAUUUUGGGAACUGUUGUUUCUCUGCUUUCAUUCAUUGCCCUACCAGAAGCUGUGAAGUUAGAGGUAACAGUAAGAAAAGUAGUGUUGGGCUGCCUGCCGGUCACAGGGACAAAAAUUAGCAUAGAAUGGGCAGGGGACUUGUGGAUCUUUCCUCUCUUGCCUGUGUUUGGAACCAAAAAGCUGAAAGCUGUUGUUAGGCCCACUGUCCUAGGAGCUAGAAUAGUCCUAGCCUGUGGCAGGAGACCGAGCUGUGAGGCAGGUGGAGGGAGGGGGCUAUAGAGUUUGCAGACUGUCACUCCUACAGUUCAUUUUCUGCACCUGCCCCAUCAAGCUCCAUUUAGAAAUGGGUUGGGCUUCACUUUGCAAUCACAGGAGGAUCUGGAUUCUCUGACGAAUCAGGAACCACCCACCAUGGAUGAUGCUUGUGAGGAGCGCAGUCUGUUUCAUAGGUAAGUGAUGCCUGAUGCCUAAUCGUCAACCAAGAAACCCAGCUCCUGUUCAGGUGAACUGUCCUCCGGGAAGCUGACUCAGAGAAGAUACAGUGAUCUUGAUUUGUCUUUUUCCAAACUAUAUCUUUAUUAAUCAGUACCAGCUUUUGUUUCAAGACUUUCAUAAGUUUUCCCAUUUUGGCACUUUCCCCCCUGAAUCAUGUGAAAUUCCUCUUCCUUCUAAAUUCAUCUUUCAGGGCUGCCUGGGUGGCUCAGUUAGUUAAGUGACCGAUUCUUAAUUUCUGCUCAAGUCAUGAUCUCAAAGUCGUGAGAUCAAGCCCCAUAUUGGGCUCUGAGCUGAGAGUAGAGCCUGUUUAGGAUUCUCUCUCCCCUUCUCUACCCCUC
rnacentral:lncRNA from 1 species